CCUUAUCUGGAUCGGGUUUCGCUGGCUAACGUGUUGUGCGAGCGAGCAAAUUCUUCAAUUCGUUGUCGACGAAACCUGCACGGAAUAAGG
rnacentral:pre_miRNA from 1 species